ACUCCGAGAACAGCUGGUCUUCUCCAGGGCUUCGAUAGCAGAGCUCCAGUUCCUGAAGAGGCAAAGAGUUGAGUUGCCACCCUGUUCAUCUUGCAUGGAAGGUCUUUCCCCACCUGACACCUUCUUGGCCCUGCUUGGCUCCAUAAGGACACUCUGAUGAUCCCUGUACUGAAAUCAACCAUCACCUUCAGACAUUGCUCUUUUCCCAAUUUUCCACAGAAGGAUGAGGACACAACUGAGUACCUCACGGAUGGCAGGGCAAAGAUGGAGAUGUGAUUCCCAGGCCUUAGCAGCCAAGAAUGGAAGAGGCCGGACCCCGGUUCAGGGUUUGAUACAUGCCAUAGACGUUCUGGAGAGGGGAAGCACCAGCCGGAUGAAUCAAUCCUGCCCUGCCUGUUCUGAGGCCCAGACAAGGAGGCGGUGAAAAGACCCUGUCUUCUGCGAAGGGCUCUGCAUUCAUUCCCCUACUGCUGUUAGAGCUGUUCUGCCCCUGGGGAGGAGCGCAGACCUUGAAGUAGAAGGUUAUUCUUCUCAACUAAGUCCCGGCUCCAGGAGGGAAGGAGGUGGAAACCUACUCGGGACUCUAGAGAGCAAACCCCCUCAGAAGCAGCCCAGGUUUGACAGGUUUGGGAGGCCUGGCUGAGGAAAGCCCGAGGCCCAGGCUUCCCGGACCCCCUCUGAGAAGGCUCUGGAUGUGGGGGUUUGGAGCCCCUGUC